rnacentral:lncRNA from 1 species
CCACAGCUCCCCGCGUCCAUCUCACUCCCUAGGAGUGUCAAAUGCUAUUGGUCCCACGGCACCUUCUAUGUGAUUCCCGCCUGUCUCUCCCUGGGCUGCCGUCUCUCGGGAAGUCCUACUCCUGUUCAUGCUUCCAAACCCUGCCAAGAAGACAGGUGACAAGUGCUGCAGGGAGCAUCAAGCCCGAGUGCAGUCCGGCGAGGGUCGGUCCCUGUGGAGGAGUGCUGGCAUGCUCCUCCAGCCCGCCAGGCGGCAGCUACAAGAACAUGAUGGAAGGCUGGCCUGUCAGGGGUUCUGCCACACCCAGAGCCCUUCACAGACUGGGCGUCCAGUCCUGCCGGGCCAGCCGUCGAGCAUGCCCAGCAAACCUUGAUGAAGAAUCACAAACACUCAAAUGGCCCAGUGAGACCGUGGACAGGCAUGCCAGGCGAAGCAAGUAAAAUCUCAGACACCAGCUAAAUCUGAAUUUCAGGUAAGCCAUGGAUAACUUCUCUCAUGCCAUUUUGGGAUAUACUUAGAUUUAAAAUUAUCCACUGUUUAUUUGCAACUCAAAUAUAUUGGGCCAUCCUGUAUUUUAUCUGGCAAUCCUCUUCAAAUACCUGGCUGACCUGCAGGCUCCUGUAGCUCAAGCCCUUCAUUUCACAGGGACAAUAGAUGCCCAGAGGGGGAAAGAGCGCUCUCAGGACACAGAGCAGGUUAGUAGCAGCUACCUCCAGGCAACUGGGACCCAGACCAGGGCUUUUCUGAAAAAAUAACCAAGGGAAGCAGAGAAUGGCGGUUUCCUAGUGAGGUGGGGGCCAGAACGUGAGCGCGGAGCUUCAGGCAGCAGGGGUGAGGAUCUACCUGGGGGCGGAGGCUGGGGCUGACUCCUGACCUCCAGGCCUGGGGGGCCUCCAGCCCAUCCCUCAUGUGCUUUUUCCCACUGACCGCAGGGAGUUCAAUGAGCGGGGUCUGACGUCUCCCGUCUGAAUGUCAAAAAGACACACCGAGGCCCAGGCUCCAUAGUGUCUCUGAGUAGCUCAGGGGGGACACUGACCAAGGCACUUCCUUCCCAGGCUCAGUUUUCUGAUCUGUAAAAUGGUGAUCUCAACCCCCAGCGGGGUGCUGGGGACUGAAGCAGAUGCAUCUGACGCAGCACCUACACCCUGUGGAGGGUGAGGGGGGCUCCAGAGGCUGACCUUCAUGUGGUGACUGACAGCUGCUCUACAGGAGCGCCAGGCCUGUGCAGACUGUCUCCUGGCACCCAGGCUGCAGCUCUGCUGAGGUGACUCCAUUCACAGUGAACCUUGGAGCUCAGGUGUGGAUUUGGGUCUCUGGUCUGGCCUGCAAGCCCCUAGCCCAGGGCAUAACAUGCCCCACCUGGUGAACUGGCAUUUACAGGACCCUAAGCCUCUCCUCUGUCCUGGGUCCAAUCCAGCAGCUAGACCAGGACCGCAGCAUUGGGGUGAGGCUGGGACACACCCAGAGACUGCAGGCUGCAGGGCUUGCCCCUUCCCUGAAAUGCCACUCCCAAUCAAUACAGUAGGUCACCUGGGGCCUACUGGCCAGAUAAUUCCAGGCCCAGACCUUGGGAGAAUGUGACCCCAGGAAACCAAGUCCGUUAGGGUAAUGGGGGCCAGUACGGGACCAGAGUGCCCUGGGACAAAAAGGGUACGCUCUGUGCAGAGGCUGCCCUGCCUUCAGGGCGGAUCCGCUGGCGCCCCCUAGUGAGCGGAGCUCAACAUCCUACCCUACUCAGGCUUCCUGCACCAGGAGGCAAGUAAGAAAUGCGUUGGGCGUGACCCAGCCUGUGGACAAUAACUGACACCACAACCCUAGACAAACAGUGCUCACCCCCCUUCAGGGUGCCCUCGGACAGGCUGUCUUUUCUAUUCCAUGUUUAAAACUGCUGGGCUCAGCCCACUGGGUUGGUUUCCUCGUGUGUCAUGGGCUAUAGUUUAAAAAUCCCAGGAAACCCCUCCCGGCAGCCCUAGGUUUGGUUACUCACAUUUAUGACCAAGCCUGAAUUCUCUCCUCUCUUUCCUCUGAGAGGCAAGAAGCCUGGGCUGCUGUCUACCUCUGCCGCCUGCAGGGUUGGGCCUGGCUAAUACGCCUGGGACCUGGGAGUCAGAGGGGAGGCCAACGAUACACAGCUGCCCCUGAGUAGCAGGUGACCUCGGGUAAGCUACCUGACCUCUGGGGUGCUCAGUUCCCCACCUCAAAACCAGGGAUGACCACGCUGGAUUGUUGACAGGGUCAUGGGCUCGAGGAGAGCAUGCAGCAGGUUUUGGCCCUCAAGGUGACCAUGGCCGUCCUCCAGUUUGUGUGACCUCAGACAUUACACAGGGUCCACUCACAAAGGGUCUUGCUCUGGGUUUAACACCAGGCUGCCACCAGCUUCAAAUUCUUAAUUUUAUCUUUGAAUUUGUGUUUCGUAUGUGACGAUGGGACAGGAGGGCAGGGACAGGUGCCUGGGGUGGUCUGGGGUGCUAUGGAACCUGGGGACACUGCUGGACUGGGAGCCAGGACUCAGGUGCUCGCAGUGAUGGAGGGUGACCCUGGUAGAGCAGAGGGGCUCAUCAUGGGGCCAGUUCUCAGACCAUAGAGGGGCCGCUCACCUUUCCAUCCUGGAGCCUGUCACAAGGCACCUGGGAAGUUAUAACUCUCCAAUCAGAGGGCUGGGACAGGAGCGGGGGAGGCAGACCUCGUCAGUGAACCACCACAGAUGGACUGUUCACAGACCUCACGACCCGGCAGUUACUGGCACCCAGCAACUAGUUGAGAACCUCUGGAUUCAAAGCCCGCCAUGACACUGUAAAGCAAAUCUCCAAUAGAAACUAAGUGGAAAGAUGGACACGCUAGCUCAAAAGAGCACCAUUUUCCUAUGGGCCUUUGAUGGGACGAGCUUUGGUGAGGAGGACUAUUUUAAAAUUAAAUCCCCCUCGGAAUUCAAGACUCGGUGAUCCAAUGCAUAAACAGGAGGCUGAACUGUAUACAGAUGGUGAAACUGCUGUUGGUUUUGUGUGACCUCCACAGGUUACAGGAAAUGCCGACAGUAAACAUUAAAAUACUGCUGUAUACACUCGAAAGUAAACCCAGAUUUACAGCAAACUGAUUUGUAUGAAAAGUUAAAUCUGUUUAGAAAAAUUAAUCUGUAUGAAUCAUCAAUUCCUAAAAUAUUUAUUUCAAAGUUAUUCAUCAGAUGGGGCCAGGGUUGUGACUCAGUGGCAGAGCACUUGCCUAGCACAUGUGAGGCACGGGGAUCCAUCCUCAGCACCACAUAAAAAUGAAUAAAUGAAAUAAAGGUAUUGUGCCCAUCUACAACUAAAAAGAAUAUUUAAAGAAAUUAUUCAUUAGAAACAUAUCCUGAUGUUAUCACAGCCUGUGAAAUUCUCUUAACAGCUCCAAAGACUGUUGCAGCCACAGAAAUAUCCCUCUCAAAAUGAAAAAUGACCCAAAAUGAUGUUUGGUCUUGCAUUUGUCAAGAAAAACUGGCAUCACUUUCAAUGAUAUCUAUUGAAAAUGAAGUUGCUAAAAGUACACAUUUCGAUGACCUAAAUGAAUUUGCAGAAAAGUGAGCCAGAAAAAUGGUAAGACUAUCACAGUAGUAAAGUACUAUUAUGUUAUAAAGA